AUUGAACGCUGGCGGCAUGCCUUACACAUGCAAGUCGAACGGCAGCACGGGAGCAAUCCUGGUGGCGAGUGGCGAACGGGUGAGUAAGUAUCGGAACGUGCCCAGUCGUGGGGGAUAACGUAGCGAAAGUUACGCUAAUACCGCAUACGAUCUAUGGAUGAAAGCGGGGGAUCGCAAGACCUCGCGCGAUUGGAGCGGCCGAUAUCAGAUUAGGUAGUUGGUGGGGUAAAGGCUCACCAAGCCGACGAUCUGUAGCUGGUCUGAGAGGACGACCAGCCACACUGGGACUGAGACACGGCCCAGACUCCUACGGGAGGCAGCAGUGGGGAAUUUUGGACAAUGGGCGAAAGCCUGAUCCAGCCAUGCCGCGUGCAGGAUGAAGGCCUUCGGGUUGUAAGCUGCUUUUGUACGGAACGAAAAGGUUUGGCCUAAUAAGCUGAGCUCAUGACGGUACCGUAAGAAUAAGCACCGGCUAACUACGUGCCAGCCGCCGCAGUAA
rnacentral:rRNA from 1 species